rnacentral:rRNA from 2 species
GGGUUGUGAGGUUAAGCGACUAAGCGUACACGGUGGAUGCCCUGGCAGUCAGAGGCGAUGAAGGGCGUGCUAAUCUGCGAUAAGCGCCGGUAAGGUGAUAUGAACCGUUAUAACCGGCGAUACCCGAAUGGGGAAACCCAGUGUGACUCGUCACACUAUCAUUAACUGAAUCCAUAGGUUAAUGAGGCGAACCGGGGGAACUGAAACAUCUAAGUACCCCGAGGAAAAGAAAUCAACCGAGAUUCCCCCAGUAGCGGCGAGCGAACGGGGAGGAGCCCAGAGCCUGAAUCAGCAUGUGUGUUAGUGGAAGCGUCUGGAAAGGCGCGCGAUACAGGGUGACAGCCCCGUACACAAAAGCGCAUGUGCUGUGAGCUCGAUGAGUAGGGCGGGACACGUGGUAUCCUGUCUGAAUAUGGGGGGACCAUCCUCCAAGGCUAAAUACUCCUGACUGACCGAUAGUGAACCAGUACCGUGAGGGAAAGGCGAAAAGAACCCCGGCGAGGGGAGUGAAAAAGAACCUGAAACCGUGUACGUACAAGCAGUGGGAGCACAGGUUUACCUGUGUGACUGCGUACCUUUUGUAUAAUGGGUCAGCGACUUAUAUUCUGUAGCAAGGUUAACCGUAUAGGGGAGCCGUAGGGAAACCGAGUCUUAACCGGGCGUUAAGUUGCAGGGUAUAGACCCGAAACCCGGUGAUCUAGCCAUGGGCAGGUUGAAGGUUGGGUAACACUAACUGGAGGACCGAACCGACUAAUGUUGAAAAAUUAGCGGAUGACCUGUGGCUGGGGGUGAAAGGCCAAUCAAACCGGGAGAUAGCUGGUUCUCCCCGAAAGCUAUUUAGGUAGCGCCUCGUGAAUUCAUCUCCGGGGGUAGAGCACUGUUUCGGCUAGGGGGCCAUCCCGGCUUACCAACCCGAUGCAAACUGCGAAUACCGGAGAAUGUUAUCACGGGAGACACACGGCGGGUGCUAACGUCUGUCGUGAAGAGGGAAACAACCCAGACCGCCAGCUAAGGUCCCAAAGUCAUGGUUAAGUGGGAAACGAUGUGGGAAGGCCCAGACAGCCAGGAUGUUGGCUUAGAAGCAGCCAUCAUUUAAAGAAAGCGUAAUAGCUCACUGGUCGAGUCGGCCUGCGCGGAAGAUGUAACGGGGCUAAACCAUGCACCGAAGCUGCGGCAGCGACGCUGAUGCGUUGUUGGGUAGGGGAGCGUUCUGUAAGCCUGUGAAGGUGGCCUGUGAGGGUUGCUGGAGGUAUCAGAAGUGCGAAUGCUGACAUAAGUAACGAUAAAGCGGGUGAAAAGCCCGCUCGCCGGAAGACCAAGGGUUCCUGUCCAACGUUAAUCGGGGCAGGGUGAGUCGACCCCUAAGGCGAGGCCGAAAGGCGUAGUCGAUGGGAAACGGGUUAAUAUUCCCGUACUUGGUGUUACUGCGAAGGGGGGACGGAGAAGGCUAUGUUGGCCGGGCGACGGUUGUCCCGGUUUAAGCGUGUAGGUGUGUGUUCCAGGUAAAUCCGGUUCACUUUAACACUGAGGCGUGAUGACGAGGCACUACGGUGCUGAAGCAACAAAUGCCCUGCUUCCAGGAAAAGCCUCUAAGCAUCAGGUAACAUCAAAUCGUACCCCAAACCGACACAGGUGGUCAGGUAGAGAAUACCAAGGCGCUUGAGAGAACUCGGGUGAAGGAACUAGGCAAAAUGGUGCCGUAACUUCGGGAGAAGGCACGCUGACACGUAGGUGAAGUGAUUUACUCAUGGAGCUGAAGUCAGUCGAAGAUACCAGCUGGCUGCAACUGUUUAUUAAAAACACAGCACUGUGCAAACACGAAAGUGGACGUAUACGGUGUGACGCCUGCCCGGUGCCGGAAGGUUAAUUGAUGGGGUCAGCGCAAGCGAAGCUCCUGAUCGAAGCCCCGGUAAACGGCGGCCGUAACUAUAACGGUCCUAAGGUAGCGAAAUUCCUUGUCGGGUAAGUUCCGACCUGCACGAAUGGCGUAAUGAUGGCCAGGCUGUCUCCACCCGAGACUCAGUGAAAUUGAACUCGCUGUGAAGAUGCAGUGUACCCGCGGCAAGACGGAAAGACCCCGUGAACCUUUACUAUAGCUUGACACUGAACAUUGAGCCUUGAUGUGUAGGAUAGGUGGGAGGCUUUGAAGCGUGGACGCCAGUCUGCAUGGAGCCGGCCUUGAAAUACCACCCUUUAAUGUUUGAUGUUCUAACGUGGACCCGUGAUCCGGGUUGCGGACAGUGUCUGGUGGGUAGUUUGACUGGGGCGGUCUCCUCCUAAAGAGUAACGGAGGAGCACGAAGGUUGGCUAAUCCUGGUCGGACAUCAGGAGGUUAGUGCAAUGGCAUAAGCCAGCUUGACUGCGAGCGUGACGGCGCGAGCAGGUGCGAAAGCAGGUCAUAGUGAUCCGGUGGUUCUGAAUGGAAGGGCCAUCGCUCAACGGAUAAAAGGUACUCCGGGGAUAACAGGCUGAUACCGCCCAAGAGUUCAUAUCGACGGCGGUGUUUGGCACCUCGAUGUCGGCUCAUCACAUCCUGGGGCUGAAGUAGGUCCCAAGGGUAUGGCUGUUCGCCAUUUAAAGUGGUACGCGAGCUGGGUUUAGAACGUCGUGAGACAGUUCGGUCCCUAUCUGCCGUGGGCGCUGGAGAACUGAGGGGGGCUGCUCCUAGUACGAGAGGACCGGAGUGGACGCAUCACUGGUGUUCGGGUUGUCAUGCCAAUGGCACUGCCCGGUAGCUAAAUGCGGAAGAGAUAAGUGCUGAAAGCAUCUAAGCACGAAACUUGCCCCGAGAUGAGUUCUCCCUGAGACUUAGAGUCUCCUGAAGGAACGUUGAAGACGACGACGUUGAUAGGCCGGGUGUGUAAGCGCAGCGAUGCGUUGAGCUAACCGGUACUAAUGAACCGUGAGGCUUAACCUUACAACGCCGAAG